rnacentral:lncRNA from 1 species
CUAGCGGCUGCCUCGGGCGCUGGGCGAGGUGCGCGCGGAGGCUCGCCUGCGGUGCGGCUGGGACGCGGGGCUCGCGGGAGGACGUGAGGCGCGCUCGAGUCUCCCACUUCCUCCCCCGACCCGCGGGUCGCGGGCUACGCGCCGCCGACUCUGACUGGGCACCGACCCGGCUCCGGCAGCGCGAGCCUCCGCGGCUCCGGCCAUGGGCAGCUUCCAGCUGGAAGACUUCGCGGCAGGCUGGAUCGGAGGGGCAGCCAGCGUCAUCGUCGGCCACCCUCUAGACACGGUCAAGGUACUGCAGCCAUGUUUGCCACUACCUCUUGGAAAGCGGCCUGGAGUGAGUCUGCCUCCAGGAAUGUGUCUGCUGUUUCUGAUUCCAAGACAGUCUCCAGCCCAGGGCAGAGUCUCUGCGCCAACCCUGGGGGCGUGGGGUGCCAGGGUGCCAGGAGGACUGGUUUGGAAUCCUCGCUGUCCUCUCAUUACUUGGCAGGGAUCUUGUUUUUGUGAAUGCCACAUUUCUGCCUCCAGGUUCUCGUGGGCUGUGGGGGAGGGGGCCAAGGCAAUGGUAAGUAUCCCCGGCCAGUCUCCAUGCAACUAAGGAACCAGGAAAGGCUUCAAUCAUGAGGUGGCCAGAAUUUAAGGUUGGGUUUCAGGUGAUGAGAAAAGAUGUUCCAGGCUCAGCAGCAAGAGCUAAGGCAUCGAGGUGGGGACACUGUGUGGGGGUCACGCUUGGGGAAAAGCCAGCAUGGCCAGUUUGACUGAUGCAUCAGGUUUCUAUAGAUCAGAAUCCAGGAAAGGUGGGUCAGCACUCGAUCCUGGGAGGCCUUCACUAUCAGUUUAGACUGCGGACUUGGGCUGGGAAUAGGAAGCCAUUAUAACUCUAGGAAGCACAGGACAUAUGAGGACUCAACAGGGCCAUCUGGCGUGGGGACCAUCCAUGCCCCUUGUUCCACAGAUGGAGAAACUUGCCCAGAAAGGGAAGGGCUUGCAUGAGGUCAUACCAGGAGUGAAAGUAUCGAGAAGGGAGGGAGUGAGGCACCCUACAAAGGGACAUUCUUUGACUCCACCCCCAUUCCUGCCCCGUCCCCAGUGGUGAGCAGGGCUAGAGAGCCAUCCCCUGGGAGCACAGUCGCAAAUAGUGCCUUCUCACCCCUGACUUGCACAUUCAUAUUUAAAGCUUUGCCUGGAUCGUGCACUAAGAGGAACUUCUCAGGCUCUUCCCAAGUGGCUGCUACAAUCACUUUUCCCCCCGUCUUCUUCCCUGUAGGACAGUGGGCUUCUCCUAUGUCAG